rnacentral:lncRNA from 1 species
GGCUCUCAAAGUUCCCAAAACAAGAACGUUCUCCCAGUCCUUCCUUGUGCAAACCAGGUGAAUUCUGUUGUUUUUUUCAGACAAUCCCCCUCCACCAGAGCUCCCUCCAAUGCUAUAAGCUAUUUAUAAGGCGAGCUGUGACUGUACAGCACACCCUGGCUCUCAUCAGGGUGUGCCUUACACGUUGGGUGCUCCUCCAGAAACAGCCUCUACGUGUGCACGGUCUUUUCCCGAUUUCCCCCCUUUCCUCUUUCCUUCCUCUGCUGCUGUUUUCAAUCACGGCUGCCCGGGCAGUGUGGUGGUCAGGCUUAGAGACUUGCUAGAACUGGAUUCAAGAUUUAUGAGAACUAGAUGUAACCAGGCCUCUCCCAGAGGUUUGGGAAGAACAGCUGGAGUCUGGCACUUUCCAUCAUGACAAGGACUAUUAAAAACUAAGAGUUGAACUGAAAAAAGCCAGGGGGAGGUGGAAGGGGGGCAAUGUUUAGGCUUAAAAUGCAAAACAAGUGCCUGCAAUAUCCAGGCUGUCUGCGCAGGGGCCAAUUCUGACAGCAAACGGCUUUCGCAGCUGCUGGGAGCCGGGCUUAUUUUAGAAACCACUUCAGAAACAAGAGGUUAAAAGCAAGGAGGGAGGGCGGGUUUCGAUGUGAGGGCUCUGUGUGUGUGUGUGUGUGUGCGAUCCUACUGCUCAAAGCCCUGCCUGGAGUGCAUGAUGGAGCACUUCACAUCCUGCGCAGUCUGGAGGCCGUUUCGGCUGGGCCACCCCACCCAGCGCUGAGGUAAUGGCCCCGGCCGGCUGUGUUUGUCGACAUCGCUGAGGCGUGCGUGCGUCCGGCCUGCCGCGCCAGGACGGCAGAGCUGCUGUGUGACGAGGAGGGAGGGGACGCCAUCCCACCCCAUUGUUGUCUUCCAUCAUGGCGGCGCCCCACCUGUCCCAUGCCCAAGGGGUGCUGGGGGCGGGAUGCCUGCGGACGUCCUGUUACUGUCACCAGGAGCGGGAUGGGAGUCUGGAAGGAAGGCCGGAACUGGAGAAUUGUGAGGAGCCACUGUCCACAGAGUCUACAGUGCUUGUGCCUUCACCAGUGGCAAGGCCAAGCUUUUUAUUCCCAUGCUGUACCUCGUGCUCUGAGGCCCAAAGUCAUCUGAAGAGGCAGUGGUGCAUUUGGGCCUGUGUGUCCCCAUCUCCACCGGUGUAGAAUCUGAUGUCUGGCCUGGCUCACAAAAGACCUGAGGUUCAACUAAGCUGAAGUCAAUAACCAGAAAUAUCAGAGAAAAAAAUAGUAAGAGAAAAAAAAUAUAUAUGUUGGUAUUUACAGGAUGUGCAUUUUUGCUUUAAGAAAUCUCCCUGACCUUGGAGAUUCCAAAGUAUCAUUUCAACAUAGCUCUCAGUGAGAUGUGAAACAGGGCACAGGAGGGCAAACAAUGGGAACAAGAUUAUCAACGCUUUUAUAGAAGUAUUUGUUUC